rnacentral:rRNA from 1 species
UACGUAGGGUGCGAGCGUUGUCCGGAAUUAUUGGGCGUAAAGAGCUCGUAGGCGGUCUGUCGCGUCCGUUGUGAAAACUCGAGGCUCAACCUCGGGCUUGCAGUGGAUACGGGCAGACUAGAGUGCGGUAGGGGAGACUGGAAUUCCUGGUGUAGCGGUGGAAUGCGCAGAUAUCAGGAGGAACACCGAUGGCGAAGGCAGGUCUCUGGGCCGCAACUGACGCUGAGGAGCGAAAGCAUGGGGAGCGAACAGG